rnacentral:SRP_RNA from 1 species
UAUAAAUACGUGCAAUAAGUAAAUGUGGAAUCAGGUCAGGAUGGAAACAUAGCAGCCUUAACAUAAUUUACUUAUGUGCACUUUUUUUGAUCUU